CUGUUCUGCAACGUCAGAGGAAUCUCCGUGGUCAGAUCUCGCACGUCUGGUAACUGGUUCCCUGAAGCAGCGAAGAUGAAACGAGAUUGUUCGAGAAAAAGCAGAUCGUCGUCGAUGAAACCGAUCGCGGAUAAAAGAUGUGACGAGACAGGCUACGUUUAGAACCCUUUGAAAGAAGUUCAUGUCCUGGGUCAGGGAUUUGCCAAAGUAAGGCGUGACGGACCAUGGCGAUGGGUUCCCUUGGCGACUUAUGGAUCCGCUGUAUAGUGCCACCUAUAUCGACAUUUUUCUUCAGUUCUUUCGCUACGAGUAAUCGAGACAUUGAGAAAGGUCUCGGCCAUUACAGACUUGUUAUUCGCGAACGCUAUUGGCAAAUAUGUUUGCUAGCGAAUGGCCUGUCUUUACAGCGUAUUUAAAAUAGUUACGGUAUUCAGCAUGAUAGUGGG